GGUCCGUUUAUAUGUGUUGGAUUCUUCUCAGAAUGCAAUGGAGUCAACAAAUUCAGAUUUAAAGACCAUCAUUUUGUGAACUUUCCAACAUUAACUCUUCCGCCUGGUUGUCUUACUUGGUUCUCCUUUUCUCUAUUACUGUAUAUAAUGACCUAUCUUUUUUGCUAGCAUUGUAUAAUCAGGCUCUAUUCCAUAUUAUUUUGUUUCGGUUUGACAGGUGUUAGGUUGGUUGG
rnacentral:lncRNA from 1 species